GAACAGCGAGCUCUACCAAAGCAAGGUCUCCUUUGCGUCCUCAGACUGCCGACCAGUGCUGAGAACAGGGGCACUGAAUAUCUGUGAGCUGAGCGCAUCCAGCCAUCAACUGACUCACUCACUGAAGAACGCUACAUUCUGGGCAUAUCUUCCAUGACAGUCCAGCAGGGUAGCUGUUGGAAAUCCAAACAUGUCCACUCCUGCUUACGACCUCAGUCACCACCUCUUCAUAUGAUUCUUCCAUGGGCUGUUCCUGAGCACCUGAGGGAGAAAAACAAACAGAAACAAACAGGAAAGGGCAGAAUAAUUGAUAUGUGAGAAGGAGAAAGUCAACAGUUGUUGAGACAUAAGUGAAUGCUGGAGUACAGUGGCUCAAUCAUAGCUUGCUGUGACUUUGAACUCCUGGACUCAAUGGAUCCUCCCACUUCAGCCUCCCAAAUAGCUAGGACUAUAGCACCUGGUUCUUCUUGACAACUGCACAUUCUGCUACAUGCUGUGAUGACCAGGAGAGACAUUUAAAUUUUUAUUUGGAGGACUCACUUCCAACUUGGAACACAAGCUACAAAGGAAUUCCCUACCAGCGUGCCAGCACAUCAUUUGGAAGUUCAAGGUAUUCUUGCUCAACAGCUGCACACACAUUAAAAGUCCCUGGAGUACAUGGCGCCUGCUGCCUGGGGUUGGACUCUGUCGCUGGGGAUUCCAGAAAUUAGAGUAGAAUUCACAGCUCUGCCUCUCCACCUGCUGUGAGGUCUUCAAGUUACAACUCCGCCGCCUAUCAGGGCCCUCCGUGAUUAGUAAGGGAGAAAUUGUCAUAUUUUUCUCCCUAGAUCACAGGUCGGAGGAAGCAGUUUUCCCAAGAUUUUGUAAAAGUAGCUUUAUAAUUAAAAACAUUGAUUUUCCUAUUA
rnacentral:antisense_RNA from 1 species